rnacentral:rRNA from 1 species
CACCACAACGGGUGGAGCCUGCGGUUUAAUUGGACUCAACGCCGGGCAGCUCACCGGAUAAGACAGCUGGAUGAUAGCCGGGCUGAAGACUCUGCUUGACUAGCUGAGAGGAGGUGCAUGGCCGUCGUCAGUUCGUACUGUGAAGCAUCCUGUUAAGUCAGGCAACGAGCGAGACCCACGCCAACAGUUGCCCGCAUGUCCUCCGGGAUGAUGGGGACACUGUUGGGACCGCCUCUGCUAAAGAGGAGGAAGGAAUGGGCAACGGUAGGUCAGCAUGCCCCGAAUUAUCCGGGCUACACGCGGGCUACAAUGGUCAGGACAAUGGGUAUCGACACCGAGAGGUGGAGGCAAUCUCCUAAACCUGUCCUUAGUUCGGAUUGUGGGCUGCAACUCGCCCACAUGAAGCUGGAAUCCGUAGUAAUCGCGUUUCAAAAUAGCGCGGUGAAUAUGUCCCUGCUCCUU